GCGGCGUGCUUAACACAUGCAAGUCGAACGGAAAGGCCCUGCUUUUGUGGGGUGCUCGAGUGGCGAACGGGUGAGUAACACGUGAGUAACCUGCCCUUGACUUUGGGAUAACUUCAGGAAACUGGGGCUAAUACCGGAUAGGAGCUCCUGCUGCAUGGUGGGGGUUGGAAAGUUUCGGCGGUUGGGGAUGGACUCGCGGCUUAUCAGCUUGUUGGUGGGGUAGUGGCUUACCAAGGCUUUGACGGGUAGCCGGCCUGAGAGGGUGACCGGCCACAUUGGGACUGAGAUACGGCCCAGACUCCUACGGGAGGCAGCAGUGGGGAAUAUUGCACAAUGGGCGGAAGCCUGAUGCAGCAACGCCGCGUGCGGGAUGACGGCCUUCGGGUUGUAAACCGCUUUCGCCUGUGACGAAGCGUGAGUGACGGUAAUGGGUAAAGAAGCACCGGCUAACUACGUGCCAGCAGCCGCGGUGAUACGUAGGGUGCGAGCGUUGUCCGGAUUUAUUGGGCGUAAAGGGCUCGUAGGUGGUUGAUCGCGUCGGAAGUGUAAUCUUGGGGCUUAACCCUGAGCGUGCUUUCGAUACGGGUUGACUUGAGGAAGGUAGGGGAGAAUGGAAUUCCUGGUGGAGCGGUGGAAUGCGCAGAUAUCAGGAGGAAUACCAGUGGCGAAGGCGGUUCUCUGGGCCUUUCCUGACGCUGAGGAGCGAAAGCGUGGGGAGCGAACAGGCUUAGAUACCCUGGUAGUCCACGCUGUAAACGGUGGGUACUAGGUGUGGGGUCCAUUCCACGGGUUCCGUGCCGUAGCUAACGCUUUAAGUACCCCGCCUGGGGAGUACGGCCGCAAGGCUAAAACUCAAAGGAAUUGACGGGGCCCCGCACAAGCGGCGGAGCAUGCGGAUUAAUUCGAUGCAACGCGUAGAACCUUACCUGGGUUUGACAUGGAUCGGGAGUGCUCAGAGAUGGGUGUGCCUCUUUUGGGGUCGGUUCACAGGUGGUGCAUGGCUGUCGUCAGCUCGUGUCGUGAGAUGUUGGGUUAAGUCCCGCAACGAGCGCAACCCUUGUUCACUGUUGCCAGCACGUUAUGGUGGGGACUCAGUGGAGACCGCCGGGGUCAACUCGGAGGAAGGUGGGGAUGACGUCAAGUCAUCAUGCCCCUUAUGUCCAGGGCUUCACGCAUGCUACAAUGGCUGGUACAGAGAGUGGCGAGCCUGUGAGGGUGAGCGAAUCUCGGAAAGCCGGUCUCAGUUCGGAUUGGGGUCUGCAACUCGACCUCAUGAAGUCGGAGUCGCUAGUAAUCGCAGAUCAGCAACGCUGCGGUGAAUACGUUCCCGGGGCUUGUACACACCGCCCGUCAAGUCAUGAAAGUUGGUAACACCCGAAGCCGGUGGCCUAACCGAUGUGGGGGAGCCGUCGAAGGUGGGACUGGUGA
rnacentral:rRNA from 1 species